AGAGUUUGAUCCUGGCUCAGAGCGAACGCUGGCGGCAGGCCUAAUACAUGCAAGUCGAGCGCACCUUUCGGGGUGAGCGGCGGACGGGUGAGUAACGCGUGGGAAUAUGCCCUAUGGUGCGGAACAACUGAGGGAAACUUCAGCUAAUACCGCAUGUGCCCUACGGGGGAAAGAUUUAUCGCCAUAGGAGUAGCCCGCGUUGGAUUAGUUUGUUGGUGAGGUAAUGGCUCACCAAGACUACGAUCCAUAGCUGGUCUGAGAGGAUGAUCAGCCACACUGGAACUGAGACACGGUCCAGACUCCUACGGGAGGCAGCAGUGGGGAAUAUUGGGCAAUGGAGGAAACUCUGACCCAGCCAUGCCGCGUGAAUGAUGAAGGCCUUAGGGUUGUAAAGUUCUUUCGCCGAUGAAGAUAAUGACGGUAGUCGGAGAAGAAGCCCCGGCUAACCUCGUGCCAGCAGCCGCGGUAAUACGAAGGGGGCUAGCGUUGUUCGGAAUUACUGGGCGUAAAGCGAGCGUAGGUUGCUCGAUAAGUCAGUGGUGAAAGCCCAGAGCUCAACUCUGGAACUGCCAUUGAAACUGUCGAGCUGGAAUCUCAGAGGGGGUAGCGGAAUUCCAAAUGUAGGGGUGAAAUCCGUAGAUAUUUGGAGGAACACCGGUGGCGAAGGCGGCUACCUGGAUGAGUAUUGACACUGAGGCUCGAAAGCGUGGGGAUCAAACAGGAUUAGAUACCCUGGUAGUCC
rnacentral:rRNA from 1 species